UCCUGUGCAGGCGUGAGGUAAAUCCAUGAGAAACCUAGCCUCUGAAACUUUUGAGGCUUCGAACAGUUUAUCUUCCCCCUGCUUGUCCAAGCAACCCCCGAUCUACAAGAAACUGAGUGGUGUUUUCGCCGGACAUUUACGUCUGAGGCUCGUCGGCGACGAGAAUUUUGUCUACCAUCUUCCUGUCUUUUGCGAUUCAAUCAGCCGCCUAUAACUCGAAGCUGUGAUAGAUGUAUAGCCAUCGACCAGAUCUGCUUCCAUUGCUAUUAACAACGGAAGCUCAAAGCUUCUUCCUUACCUUCAUCGUUUCCAUCACCUUCGGUCCUCCUAAUCGCUCCGUCGAAUCACCCCUCAAUCUCUUUCGGUAUUUGCCACGUUUCGAGAAUGUGACGCUAUUAUAGGCAUUUGAGGAAUAACACGUCUCUAUUCACCUGUCAGCUGGAGGUCGUGUUACUGACAGCCAUGGUUUAGAAACGGAAACAGUAUGCGCGUGUCCCUCUUUUAUCUCUCUUCAAUUUCGCUCAUUACUUCUUAACUUUACGCAUUUGCUAUUCUGUUCGUACUUAUCUGAUAUUGAUGUUGAUUAGGCCUUAUUAUUGGUAUGGCACUGGUUGUUUUUUGUUUUGAGUUUGUUACAAGUUCUCUAAUACACUCUUCACAAGCAGAUGGAUUUUUUUUUUUUUUGGGGGUUAAGAACCAACGAGCAUGUUACAUUUUUAAGGGGCUGUUGAUAAAAAUCAUUUAAUCGUAGUUUUCGCUUAGUUUUAUCCUUUCUCAACCGAACGAGAAUGCUGUAGGCUUCUAGUUGAAAUUUAUUGAUGCGUAUUUGUUAUCGGGAAACAACUAGACACUCUCGUGGUUACAAAAUUGUUUGAUGGAGUUCAGCAUUUUAGACAGAACUUUCGAUUAUAUACGCUCUAAUUCCUCUUUGCUCGUUGGCGCAGAAAAUUCAAGGAAUCUGACGAGCAAACUCAUACUUGGUAGUAGAUCAAAUUUCUUGUUUCAUGUUUUAAUUUUCUUCCCAAUUUUGCCUAGUUUAUGUUACCUUUCAAUUCACUACUCUGUAUCAGUUGGUAUUUCUUUGGAAGAAUUAUGUUGAAGUAUCACAUAAGAAAAUUAAUUAAAGCUAUUGACAAUACUACCCUAUUUUUUCCCCACAUUGCAUACUGCCCUGUUGCUGAUCGGAGAUGCUUUCAGCAAGAUGGUUUUUGAACUAGUCUAUUUUUAUAAAGCUAGGCCGGAAGGCAAAAACUCAGAAAGGGGGAAUCAUUAGCAAUCAUUGUCCAAGAUACGUAACAGAGUAACACUGUCUGAAAUAGCAAAUAUGCAUACAAUUAAAGAUAGCCGGAAGUCAAAAUUUUUCAUUCGAAGAUCCUAGGUAAUGUUUGGUAGGCAGGAUUGAGAAAGUAGGACUGGGUUUGGGAUUGAAUAAUGCCAAGUUUUUGUGUUUAGUAGGUGAGAAUGACAAAUUUAUUCUCAAACCCAAUCCCAAAGGUGAGAAUAUCCAGUACCACCUACUCGAUGGUAUUGGAAAAUCAAACUAGGAUUGAAAAUUUUCAGACCAUGAACCAGAUAUAGAUCUGAGAGCCUCCCACGAACAAUAACAGAGGAUGUAACUAAGUAGACUCUAACGCACUCCUGAUUCAUUCAUACUUGAGUUCAUUCACUAUUUCAUCUUCACCUUGUUCAUAAGGAAUAUUUUAUAUCAAAGGCCAACCAUGUUUGAAAGCCUUGAGAUAAUUAGAAAGUUGUUAAUUACUUAAAAAAAAAAAAAUCUAUGAUCGUUUGGUGAAACUAAACCAGAAACUUGAUAGCCCUGUUUCCUCCAAUAAUUGAUCUGCCUUCUGUACUUCUGAAUGUGUGAAAAGAGCAAGCCUGGAAUAAGGAAAAUAGAAACCUAAAAUCUCAAGUUUAAAGUCAUUUUAUAAUCUUCAUUUAGAGUUGGGAAAUUUUAGGAAACAGAGCAACUGGGACUUUCCACAAGUUCAUUAUACUUGUUUAGUGAGUCCUUAAAUUACGAAAUGCUAGUCAAUAUGGAAUGGUUUAUUUUGGUAUACGUAAUUUAGCCGACAUGGUAUCAUUACUAUCAGCUAGAUUUUCAUUAUCAAGGAUUCUUGAAGUUAAAAAGUACGGCCAUUUUCAAUGUAGUUUAAAAACAAAGGGGGAAAGUGAGCAGCUCUUUCCUGAUUUUGGUGGCCAUGACUGUUCAUUUUAUUUUUCAUGUGCUAAUGAAUAGUGCAUUAACAUUAGGGUAUUUUCUUCCUGAGAAAGCAGAAAAUGAAUCAGCUUGGUGCUAUAACCUAGAGAGUUAACAAUGGAAGUGUAUAGGUUAUUGCUCACCUCCUUCAUCAGCUUUUCCUUCUUCUUCCUUUCCUCAUUCCCACUUUCCCUUUCUCAACCAGACAAUGCAUAUUGGGACUGCUAUUCUCCUUUCAAUUGUGGAAAACUAAAUUCUAGCUAUCCUUUCUGGUCCCAAGAUCGACGUCUUUAUUCUUAUCCUCCUCCCUGCUUUUAACCCCCUAACGGGUUCUGGCUCAAUUGGCCGGAAAAGGAGGUUGCACUCCCUUCCAUUCAAAUUGGCUACCAGAAUUUCAAGAUCUGAUCGAUUGACCAGGUCGCUUACAACAUGACAUUCGUGUGAAUUGACCAUGUGUAUGACAAUUGUUCUUCAGAAUUAUCCAACACUAUCUUGAGCAGUCACUACAAUUAUGAUCCAAACGUGAAGAUGGUGACCCUAUUCUAUGAUUGUCCCCAAGGCAUUUCGAAUGGCAGCAAUAACUUCACAUGCCAGCAUUCAUCUUACACUGAUUCUGGUAAGUUGGUGUUCUUCUUUGAACAAGACGAUGGUCUGUUGCGGCAAUUCCAAAAACUCCACCAUUAUGGGCGUAUUAUUCAAGCGCUGGUUUCAAAAGAAACUGAUCUGGAUCCUCAAGGGGAAACAAAACUUAUAGCUAGCUAGGUACUAUGAGCGGAACCGCAGCACUAUUGCUAAUGUGUUUUGCUAAUUUUUUUUUUUUUGUGCGGUUGUACAAUCAAAUCACGAAGGGAAAAUGCUGAUCAAAAUAUUGAGGCCUUCAUUAGAAAUCAAGGAGCUCUGGCCAUCACAAGAUAUAAAUCUACUGUUAUCAAGAAAAUCACGAAUUCUUUUACAGAGAAAUUGGGACAAGGUGUUUAUGGUGCUGUAUAAAAAGGAAAACUGAUCAAUGAUCGCCCUGUCGCUGUAAAGGUAUUGAAGCCAUCCAAAGGAGACGGGCAAGAAUUUAUCAAUGAGGUUGCUAGCAUGAGUAGACGAACUUGCCAUAUUAAUGUUGUUACGCUUCUUGGUUUUUGUUUAAAAGGUCAGAGAAGGCUCUCAUAUAUGAAUUUAUGUCUAAUGGAUCUCUUGACAAGUUCAUUCACAAUAUCCUGUAUUUUAGGAUAUUUAAUAGCCUCUAACAAUAUUUGAUAAAGUAUGUCCUAUCGGCAAAAAUUAUACACAAACCCUCA